UGACCUGUCACCCCUGGAUCAUCCCAGGGAAUGAAUAAAGCCAGAGACGUGUCCUCUUCCUGUAUCUAGACCGGCAGGUGAGGGGUGGCACCUCUGCUCCUCCCAUUCCACGCCAGCGUCUGGACAGUCAGGAAGGAAUUCCUCACCAUGUACCUUAGUGUGGAUCCAUCCUUUACACCCUUGGCCUCUCUGCCUUAUUUGUAGAUUGGAGAAUUCCACUGUGUACCAUGUGUAGAAGCUUGGAUAUGCAGAAAGCACACCCACAUUGUGUAUUAUCUGUGCACAUGCCAAUCCAUCCUGGUGGACACAAAAAUGCUGAGUUGUGCAUGAGACAUAAAACACCAAGCCAGAGAAGUAUGUGAAGAGACAGCAGUGUGGGAAGUCUAGAUGGCUGAAAUGACCUCAAUAAUCUGGUGAGCUUAACGAGAACCUGGAGCAAACAUCGGCUGGUGUUCUGCUUUCUAAAACUGUGUGAUGGGUGGAAUGCACAGUGCUGCCUUUUCAUUACUCCCACUUCUUAAAAUACAAGCACACACACACACACACACACACACACACACACACACACACACACGGACACACACAUGAACACACACAGACACACACAUAUGGACACACAGGUAGACAGACACACAGGCACAUAGACACACAUGGACACACAUACACGGACACAUAGGCACAUACAAAUGAACACACAGGCACACACACAGACACACCCAUAUGGACACACAGGUAGACAGACACACAGUCACAUAGACACACAGGCACACACAGGCACACACACACACACACAGGGACACACACAUAUGGACACACAGGUAGACAGACACACAGGCACACACACACACACACACACACACACACACAGACACACACAGGGACGCACACAUGGACACACAAGCACACACACAAGGACAUGUAAACACAUACAUACCAUGCUAACCCCAGGCUGGUUUUAAGAAUCAUGAACUGAAUUGGGGUAUAGAAACACAAAGCCCACUGAAAAUGCCACCAUUAUAUCUUUUUGUUGGUCAUCUGGAACCAUGGAAGCCAGAAGAGCCAUACUUGUCUCUGUCCUCCACAUCCUGGGAGUGUGAGAGGAAGCCAUGACUAAAGUAAGACUUCUCAUGUGGUUCCUCCCAUUUGCAGUCGAGUUGUCCCGAGACAGGGUGUAGCCAUUGAACCCGAUGGCAGUAACGACAGGAGUGGAUUUCGGAUUGACUGCAUCUUAAUCAAAAAUGAUUUAUAUGGAAAGUACUGAUGUCAUAAAUCAGUUUUCUGUUGUGGGUAUUUCCUUCUUGGUUGACACAGACUUGGAAGGCAAGGCUUACCCUCAAAAGUAGGACAGUUGGGGGUCUGAAGAUCAAUGAGCAGAGCAGAUUGCCCCUGCUCUCCACUUUCUGGGAGCUAGGGUUUCCAAAGACAAGUUCAGUGCAGGAACCUGCCCCAUCUGCUUCAAGUUCAAGGUCAGUGCAGGCAUCCACUGAGUGGAUUUUUUCUGUUUUCAUUUCCCAUGUGGCAUCGGCUCAGAGGCCUUAUUAAAACUGCCUGUCACUGGUCUGCAGAAAGAAGUGAAUAUCCAACUGGGCACUAAUCUUAAUUCCUCAUUGAACAGUAAUUAAACUCUGAAGUUUAACUCAGUUAAGAGUAGUUUUUUUUUUUUUUUUCCUUCUCUCCUUCCAUCAAACAGAUAGCAUACUUGUCCUGGCAGGGGGCUCCCGACUCCCUAAGCCCUGCUUAAACAUUUCUUUUUGUAAUUAUUUACCCAAUCACCUGAUAUUGCCUCCCCCACUCCCAUGGUAAAAGCCAAAGCUGUUAGAGCAAAGCUUAUAUUUCUUUCUUUUUUCACUAGUUUAGCAGGCUAAGUAAUUUUGUUGAAGAUUAAAUUCAUCGGCAAGCAGCUCACACUUAUCCUAGGAAAAGAAGGAAAGAAGAAAACGGGAAAAUGCCUAGCAUCCCUUUAACUUGGCAUGUUUACUGACUGUUUGGUGCAUUUCCUUUUUUCCUCCUGGAUCUUUUUUAUAUGUGCAGCUUUGGAGGAGGUUGGAGGUAGAUUUUACAUCAUUUUAAAAUACACCAUAGUACCAGUUCUGUGCCUGCUUGCUUUUAUUUUUAAAGAAAAUGUUGUAAGCUUUCAGGCCAGUAGGGCUGGCUGUGUUUUGCUUUAGUUUUUAAGCCAACGGCAAAUGAAUCAAACUUUGCUGCAUUUUCUUUGGCAUGGUCCUUAAUUAGUUUCUCUGCCUUUUUUUUUUUUUUUUUUU
rnacentral:lncRNA from 1 species